rnacentral:rRNA from 1 species
AGGUAACGGCUCACCAAGUCGAUGAUCAGUAGCCGGACUGAGAGGUUGAACGGCCACAUUGGGACUGAGACACGGCCCAGACUCCUACGGGAGGCAGCAGUGGGGGAUAUUGCACAAUGGGGGAAACCCUGAUGCAGCGAUGCCGCGUGGAGGAAGAAGGUUUUCGGAUUGUAAACUCCUGUCGUAAGGGAAGAGAAAGGACUGUACCUUACAAGAAAGCUCCGGCUAACUACGUGCCAGCAGCCGCGGUAAUACGUAGGGAGCGAGCGUUGUCUGGAAUUACUGGGUGUAAAGGGAGCGCAGGCGGGAAGACAAGUUGGAAGUGAAAUCCAUGGGCUCAACCCAUGAACUGCUUUCAAAACUGUUUUUCUUGAGUAGUGCAGAGGUAGGCGGAAUUCCCGGUGUAGCGGUGGAAUGCGUAGAUAUCGGGAGGAACACCAGUGGCGAAGGCGGCCUACUGGGCACCAACUGACGCUGAGGCUCGAAAGUGUGGGUAGCAAACAGGAUUAGAUACCCUGGUAGUCCACACCGUAAACGAUGAUUACUAGGUGUUGGAGGAUUGACCCCUUCAGUGCCGCAGUUAACACAAUAAGUAAUCCACCUGGGGAGUACGACCGCAAGGUUGAAACUCAAAGGAAUUGACGGGGGCCCGCACAAGCAGUGGAGUAUGUGGUUUAAUUCGACGCAACGCGAAGAACCUUACCAAGUCUUGACAUCCCUUGACGAUGCUGGAAACAGUAUUUCUCUUCGGAGCAAGGAGACAGGUGGUGCAUGGUUGUCGUCAGCUCGUGUCGUGAGAUGUUGGGUUAAGUCCCGCAACGAGCGCAACCCUUAUGGUCAGUUACUACGCAAGAGGACUCUGGCCAGACUGCCGUUGACAAAACGGAGGAAGGUGGGGAUGACGUCAAAUCAUCAUGCCCUUUAUGACUUGGGCUACACACGUACUACAAUGGCGUUAAACAAAGAGAAGCAAGACCGCGAGGUGGAGCAAAACUCAGAAACAACGUCCCAGUUCGGACUGCAGGCUGCAACUCGCCUGCACGAAGUCGGAAUUGCUAGUAAUCGUGGAUCAGCAUGCCACGGUGAAUACGUUCCCGGGCCUUGUACACACCGCCCGUCACACCAUGAGAGCCGGGGGGACCCGAAGUCGGUAGUCUAACCGCAAGGAGGACGCCGCCGAAGGUAAAACUGGUGAUUGGGGUGAAGUCGUAACAAGGUAGCCGUACUAGUACGCCCGGAUG